AUUUGUUUUUGCCGCCAUGACUUCCCUUCAAUGAUGGAUUGUACCCCCAACCUGUGAGCCAGAAUAAACCCUUCUUCCUUCUGUUUUUUUUCAGGUGUAUUGUCAUAGUAAUAGAAAAGUAACUAAGAAAUAAACCAGUCAGAUUGGCACCUUGUAAUCCUAGUACUUUUUUCUUAGAGAUUUAUACAGGAGAAACUGAGUUCACUUAAAAAAAAAGUUUGUUCAUAAAAUUCAGAGCUACAGUAUAAGAUAAAAUAAAAAUCCAAUAAAAAAUGUGCCCCAGUUGAGCAAUUGAGAGGAUAAGUUAUAGAAUAUCUAUCUACAUGGUAUAAUUCUGCUCCGCAUUAGAAAGAAAUGGAUGCUUGAAACACUAAAGCACACAGAUCCUCCUCCUCCCAAAUCACUAUACUAAACCCAAAAGAACACAUCUCUCUCUGUGAAAUCCUAGGAUACAUAUAUUUUUAAAAUUUGGAAACAGAAGGAAACUUUGCAAGAUAAAAUGAUAAAACAAUUACAUGAUGAUUGUUCUGUGGUAGUUAUGCAAGUGAACAGAUUUUUAAAAAAAGUUUAUUGUUCACCUAAAGUUGGUAAAUUAUAUAAAUACAAAUUAUAAUCUCUAGAAAACCAAUAAAACUAAGGAUCAUUUACUGUUUCAUCUUACAUUUUUGAAGUAUUUCCUAUGUAAUUGUUAUUGUGGCAUGUUCAAGGACAAAAACAUAAUUCUUAUCUGUAAGUACAGAUAGGACACACAAACAGUAAUUUUCUUUUUCUUUUAUACUAUUUAUAAAUGUCAGAAUCAUACAUUAUAAUGUAAUAUAAUAAUUUAAAUAAUAUAAUUAAAUAUGCAUAUAUAUUAAAAUGCCAGUGAUAAUUUUCUCUGUGUUUUCAAAGUUCUAUAUUAUAUAAUUUUUACUUUUUUUAAACUGUUAAUAUAAAAUGAAGAUUCUGGCAAUCUAUGUACAUUGCUAUGCAAGCAGAAAAGAAUAUACUCUAUGGAAUAUUGAACUGAAUUUGAGAUGGCUUUUAUAGGAUACAGAGAAGGUUUCUCAAUUGGAAGGGGACUGAAUUUUCAGGAAUAACCUAGUAUAUAUAGGGUAUAUGUGCUAGAAAUCUUGAUGCAGCAUUUUAUAGUUACACAUACUAGAGGUGUGUUUAAAGUUGGGAAAUAAUACUCAUAUAUCCAAGGCUUUAUACAAGUUGGGUUUAAGAAAACCAAGCAAUGAAUGUUAACAUUGAAAGAUUAUUUAGAAAAUACUUUUAAAUAUUGUUUUCAAUAAUUAAAUAGAUGGGAUUUAACAUUGCUAGAUGUAUUAAGCCCAUAUCACUGUGUGCGAUAAAAAAUUUUUUCCCAACUAUUCUCAACAGUACACAGUACAAAACUUAUGCAAAGAUGUUAAGAUUGUAAAAGAGGAACAGAGAAUUCAGCUUCCCAACCAGACAUGUAAGGUGUUAACUAUCUUGCUCCCACAACAAAGGCAAACCGAAUAAAACCAGAAAAUCAACAAUCCUUGGGUUCUUCAAGAAGUUGGAGACACUGAGUAAACUCUUACUUUGAGAACUAGAGACAGGUGACUUGUAGAGAACUGACAGUUGGGACUGAUUAAAAGGUGGAUGACUGGUUACUAGGUGGCAGAAUCUAUACUGGUUUAAGAAAAAAACUUUUGGGUGUCCCAUCUUCUGAGAUUUUUCAAGCUUCAUGAAUUUAAGUUGCACUUUCCAAUUCUCAUGGUGAGACCUCAGGUUUAUAGGCCAAUGUGCCACUUUGACUUAAUCAUAAGAUUAAGCGGCAUUCCCCAGAUCACAUACUAAAGGCCCUGUCAUAUAAGGUCCUGUGUAAUAACAGUAUUACAACUGAAAAACUGCAAGGAAAGCAACCUAAAGAGGUGUAAUUCCACCAGAGAACUCCUAGACCUGAUAAACAGCUUCAGUGAAGCAGCUGGAUACAAAAUUAACUCAAACAAGUCAAUGGCCUUUCUCUACACAAAGGAUAAAACAGGCUGAGAAAGAAAUUAGGGAAACACCCUUCUCUAUAGGCACAAAUAAUAUAAAAUACCUUGGCGUGACUCAAACUAAGGAAGUGAAAGAUCUGUAUGAUAAAAACUUCAAGUCUCUGAAGAAAGAAAUUAAAGAAGAUCUCAGGAGAUGGAAAGAUCUCCCAUGCUCAUGGAUUGGCAGGAUCAAUAUAGUAAAAAUGGCUAUCUUGCCAAAAGCUAUCUACAGAUUCAAUGCAAUCCCCAUCAAAAUUCCAACUCAAUUCUUCAAGGAAUUAGAAAGAGCAAUGCCACAAACCCUUUGGGUCCCUUUGUCUGCGUGAACAGGGUCUCUAGUCGCAGGUGGGCAAAGCGUCAGCAGGUGACAAACAGACCAACAAGCGAGAUUGUGUAGAAUCUCAAUGUAUUGUGUCAGGUUGAACAUCAAACUUUUUAUACC
rnacentral:lncRNA from 1 species